ensembl:lincRNA
AUGAUCUUUCAUAUGUUUGACCAUAUAAGUCAUUGAUCCAUUAUCAUGAAUUGCUAGCAAUUUAAAGAAUUCAAACUUUUGUUAAAAGCAUUGAUUAGAAUAUAUUAUACAAUUAUCAAGUAUUAAAAAAGUCUUCUAAUGUCUAUUCUUGCUUAGCAUGGUUCCAAACUUGUAUGUCUUUUUCCCAUGAGGUUUCCCUCUACCUUUGUAUAUUUGACAAUAAAGCAUUUAUUUAAAAAAAAGAAAGCUGGUGAUUUUUUAGAAUUCUGUACAGUUCAUUAAUUACAUUUCUAUCAAUGAUUUGUAGAAAACAUUAAGGUUUUAAAAACCCUUCUAAAAAUUCUAGAAGACAGAGAGGGAGAGGCCCCACUUUUUGAAAUGGGUCCUCCCCAAAAAAAAAAACCCACAGAUGACAGAGAUCACAGAUUUUCUGACAGCGAAGAUGAAGUAGUAACUCUUCUUCUUCAAGAAAAUAUAGAUCAAUGAAGACACAAAAUCAAGAGCUUCAAGAAGAGCUAGAGAAAUGCACAAACAAGUAAGAGUUUAAUAAUUAACAAUUUCAUUAUUAAAUAAUAAAAUAUAUAUAUUUUUUUUUUUCUCGAGCAGUAAUUAAUCAGGACAGUGGUCAGAAAUGGCUUAAUUGUCCUAUAAUAAGAAUAAUAAUAAUAAUAUUAGAACAUCAGUAUUGGCGUUUAAUACUCAUAUUAUUUUUUUAUUAUUAUUGUUUUUAUUAACGAGACCCUUGUGUAUCCCUAGGGAGUCGAGCCAGGUCCAGUCAAUAAUAUGGUGAUUUUGUCUGCGAGGCCCGAAGAGAGGAAACUUGCUGAAGGAUUAAGUCCUUCAAGUGGCAGAAAUUUAAAAAGACUUUGCCAGUUCUACAGCCCCUUUGGUCACCACAAUUGGGAUGUCGAGUUAGGAUUUUCGGGUGGAUUCUGCCUUCGGAAAAAUUCAAAUUGGAAGUGUCCUGUCAUACCAACAGCCAGCUGCAACAAACCACAACAUUGUUCCUAAUCGUGAUGCCCCACCAACACCACCACUGCCACUAGAUGGUUACAGCCACCUGUCUGCUUGUUUGUUCAUAAUAAUCAGGAACAACUUCACAUGAGGUCAUUGACCGUAACUUCAGAAAUGGCUCACUAUGUUGAGCAAGCCACCAGAUAUCAGAGUGCAUGUCUUGAUUGGCAUUCUGUUAGGAAAAUCCGGAUAACAUCGUCACGCUUUAGUAAGAUGUCUGUCAUGUGCGUGGCCAGACCUCAGCUGAACACCUGGCCUAAAGAAUGCACAAAAUAACUCGCCAGACAGCCGACAUGAAGCGAGGACUUCAAAUGGAGUCUGAAACAGUUAUGGAGUACUGCUUCCUCCGAGAGGUAAAUUACCAGCCAUGUGGAUUUUUAAUUCACCCUGAUGCUCCUUGGCUGGGGUCCCCUCCAGAUGGGAUCAUUUUUGACCACAACGAGCACCAUGUUUUAGGCCUUCUAUAAAUAAAAUGUCCCAACGUCAAAAGUUUUGUUGACUGUUCUUACCUCAAAUUUCACAAUGGCACACCAGAACUGAAACAGCAACAUGCCUACA